GCCUGGGUAGCUCAGUGGUAGAGCGCAGCCCUGAAGAGGCUGGCGUCAUCAGUUCGAUUCUGAUCCCAGGCACCA
rnacentral:tRNA from 1 species